UUGUGCUUAUUUUGGCCACACAUAGACUAAGAUUGAAAUAAUACAGAGAAGAUUAGCAUGGUUCCUGUAUAAGGAUGUCACAAAAGUGAGUUGGGCAUGGUCAUUUUUG
rfam:Mus musculus chromosome 15, GRC primary reference assembly.